CUUUGCUAUCACAAGAAGUGUAUACCGAAAUUGGACUGAAAGCGUCUUGUUGUUCAUUAGACAAAUUCGCUCAGGUUAUAUGAUGAGCGCCCAAUCAAAUUUGCCUCAUUAAUUAUUUAUGAGAACGAGCGAGUAGGAAUAAAUGGACCCACGGGUGAUGGAGAGAGGAACGAAGCGUAAUCAACCGUGGGUUUCCGACGAUGCAUUUUCAUCAGAUGUAACGUAAUUCAUGUGGAAGUUGCUUCAGCAGUAUUGAAGCAUCGUCGCGAACCACGGUUUUGAGUCCACACACGCUCCCUCAAACCCGGGUGACGAUGGAGAGAAUCGAUUAGAAGCACCCAUGGGUAACCGACGAUGUCUGAUAGGCGCUGUGAGGAGAACAACAGUCACCUUUAAAGUUAGCAUUUCGCAAAUUCUAUGGUCGUUAUAAUAAUACAAUUUAUUACUGGGCGGAAUACUGUCUGAUGUGAGUCAUACCAAUUGAUACGCCGUUCUUUACAUACUGAUUUUGACUGUGGAUUACUCUGUUUACCCGAUUAAGGCAUAGGACUCACGACGGGUGUGACCGGUCAACAGAUGGCUACUUCUCUUAGGCACCUCAUCCCACCUCUAGUAUGUCCAUGGGUCCGUAUUUGCCUUUCUCUUAAUUUUGUAUUCUUUAUUAUGAUUUUUUAUAUUGAUCAGUGUUCAUUAUCUUCUCUUGUUCAUACCCGUGUUCAAGAAAUAUCGUCUAUAUUUUAAUUAUAAUAUUCAUUAGCUUUAUGUAUUUUACCACUGUUAAACUCGUCAAUUUAUUUCAAACACAAGAACACAAGGUAUAGUAGUAUGCUAUCAUUGGUAUGUGAACAACACGAAUUCAUAUACUAGUAGAUAUUUUAGCAACAUGUAAACAAACCAAAAAUAAUGAAAAUAAAAAAAAAAAAUAAAGAGAGGUUUCAUUAAA